UUCGGCCUACGGGGCGCAGCAGUGGGGAAUAUUGGGCAAUGGGCGCCAGCCUGAACCAGCAACGCCGCGUGAAGGAAGAAGGCUUUCGGGUUGUAAACUUCUUUUAUCAGGGACGAAGCAAGUGACGGUACCUGAGGAAUAAGCCACGGCUAACUACGUGCCAGCAGCCGCGGUAAUACGUAGGUGGCAAGCGUUAUCCGGAUUUACUGGGUGUAAAGGGCGUGAAGGCGGGGAAGCAAGUCAGAUGUGAAAACCAAGGGCUCAACCUGUGGGCUGCAUUUGAAACUGGUUU
rnacentral:rRNA from 1 species